rnacentral:rRNA from 1 species
UCGAGAAUAUUCGACAAUGGGCGAAAGCCUGAUCGAGCGACGCCGCGUGCAGGAAGAAGGCCUUCGGGUUGUAAACUGCUUUUGCCAGGGAAGAAUUUUGACGGUACCUGGCGAAUAAGGGGUUGCUAACUCUGUGCCAGCAGCAGCGGUAAUACAGAGACCCCGAGCGUUAUCCGGAAUUACUGGGCGUAAAGCGCAAGCAGCCGGUCGCAUUAGUCCGAUGUAAAAUCGUGGGGCCCAACCUCACGCCCGCAUUGGAAACGGUGCGACUCGAGCGGAUGAGAGGAGAGCAGAACGUAUGGUGUAGGGGUGAAAUCCACUGAUAUCAUACGGAAUACCAAAAGCGAAGGCAGCUCUCUGGCGUCUUGCUGACGGUCAAUUGCGAAAGCGUGGGGAUCAA